CAGGGAAGACAGUAGUGUUUCGAGUCUGGAUACCCCUAACGUGCUCGAUGGUUCUAACGUGUUUAGACCAUUCUCUCGAAAUGCCUCGAUUACGUUCCAUAUGUCGACGUUGUGCACUGCGUACAAUUAUACAUCAAUCAUUACAAAGCUUGCAGGCAGUACGAUAUGACGCAAAUCGAAUAGUAUCAAAGUUCUGCUGUCGCAUCUCUUGUAGAAGCUGCAAACGACUCGUUUCGCCGCUACUCCCGUUUCCCGAUCCACCCGCGCCUUCUUCUGCCAUUUUUACUACGAAAAAUGAACGAAUAAUGUAUUUAUGUAUUAAUUAAUGUAUUUCUACGUUAAAUCUU